CAUGCCUUACACAUGCAAGUCGAACGCGAAAGUGUCUUCGGACAUCAGUAGAGUGGCAAACGGGUGAGUAACGCGUGGGAAUAUACCUUAUAGCACGGAAUAGCCUCGGGAAACUGGGAUUAAUACCGUAUACGCCCUCAGGGGGAAAGAUUUAUCGCUAUAAGAUUAGCCCGCGUCAGAUUAGCUAGUUGGUGGGGUAAUAGCCUACCAAGGCAACGAUCUGUAGCUGGUCUGAGAGGACGGUCAGCCACAUUGGGACUGAGACACGGCCCAAACUCCUACGGGAGGCAGCAGUGGGGAAUAUUGGUCAAUGGGCGCAAGCCUGAUCCAGCAAUGCCGCGUGAGUGAUGAAGGCCUUAGGGUUGUAAGCUCUUUAAGUGGGGAAGAUAAUGACGGUACCCACAGAAUAAGCACCGGCUAACUUCGUGCCAGCCGCCGCAGUAA
rnacentral:rRNA from 1 species